ensembl:snoRNA
CGGUGAUGAUGUGUGAACUCACGAUGGUCUGCAGAGCCCCCCGGUGAACGGGGGCUGCUGAAAGUGCCAGCCCGGCUGUUGCUGAACCAUGGAG